rnacentral:rRNA from 1 species
GACGAACGCUGGCGGCGUGCUUAACACAUGCAAGUCGAACGAUGAACCCGGAGCUUGCUCCGGUGGAUUAGUGGCGAACGGGUGAGUAACACGUGAGUAACCUGCCCUUGACUCUGGGAUAACUGCGGGAAACUGUCGCUAAUACCGGAUACGACCCUCGGCGGCAUCGCCAGGGGGUGGAAAGAAUUUCGGUCAAGGAUGGACUCGCGGCCGAACAGCUAGUGGGUGAGGGAACGGCUCACCAAGGCGACGAAGGGUGGCCGGCCUGAGAGGGUGACCGGCCACACGGGGACCGGGACACGGCCCAGACUCCUACGGGAGGCAGCAGUGGGGAAUAUUGCACAAUGGGCGAAAGCCUGAUGCAGCAACGCCACGUUAGGGAUGACGGCCUUCGGGUUGUAAACCUCUUUUAGUAGGGAAGAAGCGAAGGUGACGGUACCUGCAGAGAAAGCACCGGCUAACUACGUGCCAGCAGCCGCCGUAAAAC